UACUCUUGAUCGAUUAUUUCAAAUGGGUAUUGAAACGUAACAUUCCCACAAGACUUUUCGUCGUUUAAGCUGAUAGGUCCCGGUCUUGGUUCGCAUCCUGUGAGCUUAGCGAAAAAUGAGUAAAUUGCACAAAGUUAACACCAAUUAAAAUCUGAGUUAUGUACAUCCAGUCUUUGAAUGAAAUUAAAAUCGAUAUAAUUAACUGAACAAACGACAGCGAGCGACUGAUACUGACCUGCAUCACCACAAUAGCUUGAAUUCCAGCUGAGCGUUGUGGGAACAUGAGUGGUUUCAAUAUUGAUGCCAAUGGGUAAAGGGCAGGGAUUUAAAUUGCGGUCGCGGUCGCGUUUUCGGUCGCGUCGCGUUUGUCGCGGUCGCGGACAUAACGGACGCUAUUGCGGUCACUGCGGGUAUCGCGGUCGUGAAUUUUUUUCAAAUUCGCACAACUU
rnacentral:lncRNA from 1 species